AACGAACGCUGGCGGCAUGCCUAACACAUGCAAGUCGAACGGAAACGCCGUGCUUUGUUGCGCUGCUGGGGGGGCGGAGGGGUGAGUAACACGUGGGUAACGUACCCUAGUCUUUGGGAUAAGUUAAGGAAGGUGGAGCUAAUCCCGGAUAGGAGCUCCCGCUCCAGGGUGGGCGUUGGAAAGUUUCGGCGGUUGGGGAUGGACUGGCGGCUUAACGGCUUGUUGGUGGGGUGGUGGCAGACCAAGGCAUUGCACGGUAGCCGGCCUGGGAGGGGGACCGGCCACAUUGGGACUGAGAUACGGCCCAGCCUCGAACGGGAGGCAACGGAGGAGAGUAUUAUACAAUGGGCUGGAGCCUGAUGCGACCACGCCGCGUGCGGGAUGACGGCCUUCGGGUUGUGAACCGCAGCCGCUUGAGACGAAGCGUUAGUGACGGUAACGGGAGAAUAAGCACCGGCUAACUACGUG
rnacentral:rRNA from 1 species